rnacentral:rRNA from 1 species
AUUGAACGCUGGCGGCAGGCCUAACACAUGCAAGUCGAGCGGAUGAAGGGAGCUUGCUCCUGGAUUCAGCGGCGGACGGGUGAGUAAUGCCUAGGAAUCUGCCUGGUAGUGGGGGAUAACGUCCGGAAACGGGCGCUAAUACCGCAUACGUCCUGAGGGAGAAAGUGGGGGAUCUUCGGACCUCACGCUAUCAGAUGAGCCUAGGUCGGAUUAGCUAGUUGGUGGGGUAAAGGCCUACCAAGGCGACGAUCCGUAACUGGUCUGAGAGGAUGAUCAGUCACACUGGAACUGAGACACGGGCCAGACUCCUACGGGAGGCAGCAGUGGGGAAUAUUGGACAAGGGGCGAAAGCCUGAUCCAGCCAUGCCGCGGGUGUGAAGAAGGUCUUCGGAUUGUAAAGCACUUUAAGUUGGGAGGAAGGGCAGUAAGUUAAUACCUUGCUGUUUUGACGUUACCAACAGAAGAAGCACCGGCGAACUUCGU